rnacentral:rRNA from 1 species
AUACGGAGGGUCCGAGCGUUAAUCGGAAUUACUGGGCGUAAAGCGCGCGUAGGUGGUUCAGUCAGUCAGAUGUGAAAGCCCCGGGCUCAACCUGGGAACUGCACCUGAUACUGCUGAGCUAGAGUACGGUAGAGGGCAGUGGAAUUUCCGGUGUAGCGGUGAAAUGCGUAGAGAUCGGAAGGAACACCAGUGGCGAAGGCGACUGCCUGGACUGAUACUGACACUGAGGUGCGAAAGCGUGGGUAGCAAACAGGAUUAGAUACCCUGGUAGUCCACGCCGUAAACGAUGUCAACUAGCCGUUGGGGGACUUGAUCCUUUAGUGGCGAAGCUAACGCGAUAAGUUGACCGCCUGGGGAGUACGGCCGCAAGGUUAAAACUAAAAUGAAUUGACGGG